rnacentral:sRNA from 1 species
AUCGCCACCCUCAGCCUUGUCAGGGCCAGAAGCUGCCUGUCCCAGACCCCUGGCUGCUCCCGAGGCAGAUCUGUGAGGUCUCUCUGGAGGGCAGCAUGGUUCCCUGCUCACGUUUCUUGCCAGGAUCGGGGCAUUUCUUCCCAGAAGUAUCUGAACUUGCCUCUAGCAGGCCCUACCUUUGCCUCUGACCCUCUCCUGCCCCUCACAGGAGAACCUCAUGCUUUCCAUCCUGCCCAAGCACGUGGCUGACGAGAUGCUGAAAGACAUGAAGAAAGACGAGAGCCAGAAGGACCAGCAGCAGUUCAACACCAUGUACAUGUACCGUCACGAGAACGUCAGCAUCCUCUUUGCCGACAUUGUGGGCUUUACUCAGCUGUCUUCUGCCUGCAGUGCCCAGGAGCUUGUGAAGCUGCUCAACGAGCUCUUUGCCCGCUUUGACAAGCUGGCAGCUAAAUACCACCAGCUGAGGAUUAAGAUCCUGGGCGACUGCUACUACUGCAUCUGCGGCUUGCCUGACUACCGGGAGGACCACGCCGUCUGCUCCAUCCUCAUGGGGCUGGCCAUGGUGGAGGCCAUCUCGUAUGUGCGGGAGAAGACCAAGACU